GUGCUUGCUUCAGUAGCAUAUAUACUAAAAUUGGAAUGACACAGAGAAGAUUAGCAUGGCUCCUGUGCAAGUCUGACAAGAAAAUUCAUGAAGUGUUCCAUAUUUUA